rnacentral:rRNA from 1 species
UACAGAGGGUGCAAGCGUUGUUCGGAAUUAUUGGGCGUAAAGGGCGCGUAGGCGGUGCUGUAAGUCUGUAGUGAAAUCUCUGGGCUCAACUCAGAGUCUGCUAUAGAAACUGCAGUGCUGGAGUGUGGGAGAGGUGAGUGGAAUUCCCGGUGUAGCGGUGAAAUGCGUAGAUAUCGGAAGGAACACCUGUGGCGAAAGCGGCUCACUGGACCACAACUGACGCUGAGGCGCGAAAGCUAGGGGAGCAAACAGG